CGCCUAACACAUGCAAGUCGAACGAGCAAGAGAGAGCUUGCUUUCUCGAGCGAGUGGCGAACGGGUGAGUAACGCGUGAGGAACCUGCCUCAAAGAGGGGGACAACAGUUGGAAACGACUGCUAAUACCGCAUAAGCCCACGGGUCGGCAUCGACCAGAGGGAAAAGGAGCAAUCCGCUUUGAGAUGGCCUCGCGUCCGAUUAGCUAGUUGGUGAGGUAACGGCCCACCAAGGCGACGAUCGGUAGCCGGACUGAGAGGUUGAACGGCCACAUUGGGACUGAGACACGGCCCAGACUCCUACGGGAGGCAGCAGUGGGGAAUAUUGCACAAUGGGGGAAACCCUGAUGCAGCGACGCCGCGUGGAGGAAGAAGGUCUUCGGAUUGUAAACUCCUGUUGUUGGGGAAGAUAAUGACGGUACCCAACAAGGAAGUGACGGCUAACUACGUGCCAGCAGCCGCGGUAAAACGUAGGUCACAAGCGUUGUCCGGAAUUACUGGGUGUAAAGGGAGCGCAGGCGGGAAGACAAGUUGGAAGUGAAAUCUAUGGGCUCAACCCAUAAACUGCUUUCAAAACUGUUUUUCUUGAGUAGUGCAGAGGUAGGCGGAAUUCCCGGUGUAGCGGUGG
rnacentral:rRNA from 1 species